rnacentral:rRNA from 1 species
CCUACGGGAGGCAGCAGUAGGGAAUCUUCCACAAUGGACGAAAGUCUGAUGGAGCAACGCCGCGUGAGUGAUGAAGGUUUUCGGAUCGUAAAACUCUGUUGUAAGGGAAGAACAAGUACGUUAGGAAAUGAACGUACCUUGACGGUACCCUUAUUAGAAAGCCACGGCUAACUACGUGCCAGCAGCCGCGGUAAUACGUAGGUGGCAAGCGUUGUCCGGAUUUAUUGGGCGUAAAGCGCGCGCAGGCGGUUUCUUAAGUCUGAUGUGAAAGCCCACGGCUUAACCGUGGAGGGUCAUUGGAAACUGGGAGACUUGAGUGCAGAAGAGGAAAGUGGAAUUCCAAGUGUAGCGGUGAAAUGCGUAGAGAUUUGGAGGAACACCAGUGGCGAAGGCGACUUUCUGGUCUGCAACUGACGCUGAGGCGCGAAAGCAUGGGGAGCAAACAGGAUUAGAUACCCUGGUAGUCCAUGCCGUAAACGAUGAGUGCUAAGUGUUAGGGGGUUUCCGCCCCUUAGUGCUGCAGCUAACGCAUUAAGCACUCCGCCUGGGGAGUACGACCGCAAGGUUGAAACUCAAAGGAAUUGACGGGGGCCCGCACAAGCGGUGGAGCAUGUGGUUUAAUUCGAAGCAACGCGAAGAACCUUAC